ensembl:lncRNA
AUGUCUGGAAGCAAUAACAAUAAUAAGACAACUGGAUUGAAAAAGAAUGAAACGAAAAAUGGACUCACAGGAAUUAUGCUGUACAGACAUCUUAAAGACUACCUUCUAACUGAAGAACAGUUACGAGAAAAUAACUACCCCCAGCCCAACCCUGAAAAACCAGGGAGUAUUCUUUUAAACCCAGGCAUGACAAAAACUCGUGUAAAUGAUCCUAAGUAUAUGGAUCUGAAAAUUACCCUUUCUGUGUACUGAGACUGGAGCCAUAAGAGUCCCAGUGUUCUGAUAUUUUCCGAUGAACACAAGAAUUGUGGCCAGCAUCAUUAAACUGCAGGUAGAAACAUAACUGCCUUUUGUUUGAUUUCCCUUUUCUGUUUCAUUUUGUUCUGAGUCUCUAAGUGCUUUAUGUACCUAAUCAAUUUUACUAAGUCUUCUUAGUAACCAUUUUCAGGUAAGUGCUAUUACUACCUCCCUUUAUACCAGUGAGGAAACUAAGGGUUAGGGAGGUCAAAUUAUUUCAGAGUUCACUCAGGAAGUAAGUGGGAGAACCAGGAUUUGAACCCAAGGAGUCUGACUGACGCUUCUGCUUCAUAUGUAUCCCUGUACAUAUGUAGGCAGUGCUGUAUUCUGUAUACUUCGUACCCUUUCACUAGGAAUUCUUAUAAAAAGACUUACAAUUACUCUUAUUAUUUUAUAUUUUCUCCAAAUAUUUUCUCCAUACUUAAUGUAUUUAUACCUAUUUCCUCCCCUUGCAAAAAAGAGAGAGCAAGGGAGUAUUUAAUAUUAACACAACUGUCAAAUCUUAGGCCCAUCAGAGUUUGAAAUGCACUUAUAUAAAUAUUUUUCAUCGGUUAGAAGAUAUUUAUCUUCAUCUUUUAUGUCUUUGGAACUUGUGUCUUGGGAUUAUUUUCACCAUUUGUUUUACCUUCUCUUUAAAUCCUCUCAUUGGAAGGCAGUACACUUAACGGUUAAGAACCUGGACUCGGAAGGAGGACGUCGGGCAGAUCUGGGCCGGGAUGUUGAAUCAGUCACAAGUGACCCUCCCAGCCUCUGAAUAAUGAGAUGAUGGUCGCUACCCCCAUCGGGUUCAUGAGAGUCCAUUAAAACUGUGCAGCUGAGCCGCUUGGCACAGUGCUUGCUUCAUAAUCUCAUAAAAGGCACUCACAUAAGAGUUGUCACCAUCAUUAUCGCCAUCAGAGCCAGCUUGAGGGUCAUUAAUGAAAAACAAGUAUUCAUAAAUGGGUCCAGGGACUUC